UAGGGAAUCUUCGGCAAUGGGGGCAACCCUGACCGAGCAACGCCGCGUGAGUGAAGAAGGUUUUCGGAUCGUAAAGCUCUGUUGUUAGAGAAGAACGUGUGUGAGAGUGGAAAGUUCACACAGUGACGGUAACUUACCAGAAAGGGACGGCUAACUACGUGCCAG
rnacentral:rRNA from 1 species